AAAGAAAAUGAAGGGUCUUGUCUUGUUUUUGAUAACUUUGGCUCUGGCCAAGUCACUUCCACUCGAGACCGAUCAGAACACCGAAGUCGCGCUGAACGAGGACGAGAAGAUUGAAACACCUGUUUUCGAUCCCGAGGUAUCGACUGAUUAUCCGGGCGGUCAAAUUGGUAUAAAUAUAUACGAUUUUUUUCAAUAAAACUUUGUUUGAAAAUUUUUAC
rnacentral:misc_RNA from 1 species